GCCCCGGUAGCUCAGUGGUAGAGCACCUGCAUUUGUGUGAGCAAGGAUAAAAAAAUUUAUAAGCAUUGAUUGCAAGCACUGUCAGCGUUGUCGCAGGUCGAAUCCUGCCUGGUGGUU
rnacentral:tRNA from 1 species